rnacentral:misc_RNA from 1 species
CGAUGUCUUUGGCAAUCACGUUUUAGUCACGCAUGAUCCACAGGCAAUAGAGCACUGCUCUAUAGAUCUUGUAGGUAUACUUUAGUAUAGUUAAAACGAGGUAGCCAUGCUAUUUAACGUGGCACCGCUAUUGGACGGCAGAAACCAAGCUGGGGUUAUUCUAGCCGUUUUCUUGGGUUAUUACAUCAAGCGACGUUUCUUCACAUCCAAAAAGCGCUCUAUUAAAUGGAAGAACCCCUUUGCUCAAGACUCUAGGUCCCCCUUGACUCCACUGGUUACUGAACAAGAGAAACGUGAUGAAAUCUUGAAGAAAGCCUUUACCAAACAGCUUGCCACUGAACACCAAUGGGAUGCUAUAGUUAUUGGAAGUGGCAUGGGAGGUCUCUCCAGUGCAGCCCUGCUCAGUAAAGCAGGUCUUAAAGUCUUGGUUCUUGAGAAGCACGGCAAAUGUGGUGGCGCUUGUCACAUCUUUAAAGCAGAAGGCUAUGAGUUUGAUGUUGGAAUUCACUAUGUUGGGAAUCUUACCCGUCACACCCUUAAUAAAACUUUGUUGGAUCAAAUUAGCGAUGGACAAAUCCAGUGGGCUCUACUUGAAAACAAUUUCGACCGUGUGAUUGUCGAUGCCAUGUCUCCAACGCAACGCGAAUACAAUAUUCCGUCCGGUCGUGGUGUUUGGAAAAAUCAGCUGAUUGAGCAAUUUCCCGAAGAGCAAAAAGCCAUCGAAACUUUUUUCUCAAUGGUCAACAAAGUGACCCGUCAAACCAAAGCCUGGGUUAUGGUCAAAGUGAUUCCCAUCUGGCUGGUCAAAUUGAUAAGCCUGUUUGGCUUACCGCGUUUUUUGAGCGACUUUUAUGCCCUGGGUGGCCGUACACUCAAAGACGUCAUUGAGAGCUUAACGAAGAACAAGGAUCUACAGCUUCUAUUCGCCUACAGCUGGGGAACCUAUGGCGAGCCACCGAACCGCAGCAGCUUUGCCCUGCAAGCUCUACUUCACGCUCACUAUGAAGACGGGGCUACGUAUCCGAUCGGAGGAGCUUCAGAAAUCCCAUAUCGAAUUGUUCCGGUCAUUGAACGGGCGGGAGGUCGCGUCCUGAUGAAAGCCCCAGUCUCCCAGAUUCUCACAGAAGAUGGGAGGGUGACGGGUGUUCGUGUGGGCAACAAGGAGAGUUCCGCAGUCGAUAUCUUCGCCCCCAUAGUCAUUUCUGAUGCAGGCAUCCACAACACUCUUAUGGACUUGCUUCCGGAAAACAUUGCCAAAACGUCUCCCGCUUGGCCUUUAACCAGUGCAAUGAAACCAGGAAUCGGUUGCUUGAGCGUUUUUAUAGGACUUCGGGGUACGGCUGAAGAAUUGGGCCUCAAAGCCGAAAAUCUCUGGGUCUUUACCGACUCUAGCCUUGAAGAUGGAUUUAACAACAUUUUCGAUGGUAGAACCCUGGAUGAUGUGCUCUACAAGCCUUAUCCAGCCUUUUUCGUAGGGUUCCCUUCUGCCAAAGACCCUUCGUGGGAGAGUCGCUAUCCAGGCCGCAGUACCAUCACGGUCGUGUCGUUCGCCCCGUACUCUUGGUUUGCUCAAUGGUCGGAUUUGACGGUUAAGAAGAGGGGCGAUGAGUACGAUUCGCUGAAAAAUGCCAUCGGUCAACAAAUCAUCGAUCAAAUUACUCAUCUCUACCCCGACCUGAAGGUGAGUCACCUAUCCAUUCAGAUUUCUAUAAAUGGUCAAAACAGACACGUCAUCUCACAUCUUGAUAUUGUGCGCGUAGAAUGCCAUCGAUUAUUUUAGCGUUGGGACUCCAAUUACUAAUGAGCACUACCUUAACGCCAAAGAAGGUGCCAUUUACGGCCUGGAACACGGCGUCGAGCGUUUCAGCCCGAAACAGGCGUCACUGUUGCGUCCCGAAACCGGCAUCGAAGGAUUGUUUCUCAGCGGGCAGGACGUGAUGUGUUCCGGUUUGGUGUCUGCAAUGCUGAGCGGCCUUCUCUGUGCCAGCUCCGUCUUGAAAACUAAUCUUUUCAAUGACCUCAUUCUAUUGCACAAGAAAGUGAAGGCCGCCG